rnacentral:rRNA from 1 species
GACGAACGCUGGCGGCGUGCCUAAUACAUGCAAGUAGAACGCUGAAGGAGGAGCUUGCUUCUCCGGAUGAGUUGCGAACGGGUGAGUAACGCGUAGGUAACCUGCCUGGUAGCGGGGGAUAACUAUUGGAAACGAUAGCUAAUACCGCAUAAGAGUAGAUGUCGCAUGACAUUUGCUUAAAAGGUGCAACUGCACCACUACCAGAUGGACCUGCGUUGUAUUAGCUAGUUGGUGAGGUAACGGCUCACCAAGGCAACGAUACAUAGCCGACCUGAGAGGGUGGUCGGCCACACUGGGACUGAGACCCGGCCCAGACGCCUACGGGAGGCAGCAGUAGGGAAUCGUCGGCAAUGGACGGAAGUCUGACCGAGCAACGCCGCGUGAGUGAAGAAGGUUGUCGGAUCGUAAAGCUCUGUUGUAAGAGAAGAACGAGUGUGAGAGUGGAAAGUUCACACUGUGACGGUAUCUUACCAGAAAGGGACGGCUAACUACGUG